AUGUACCAGAACCCGUGGCGGCUGCCUUUCGGCUGGAAGGACAACGAACUGGACGACGAUGAGCUGAGGUUGUUGGCGUGGAAGGAGGAGGAGGAAAUGGGACGGGAUCAGAUCAUUCUCAAGGUUCUUGAUAUUCCCUACGCUUUAUUCUGGACUCUGGAUUGUUGUGAUUACAAACAAGUGAUGCAUAAACUCCAGCUGUACCACACACUGUUGAGACGUGAAGUUCCACCGUGCAGAACCUUCAGUAAACUUCAGGGAAAUGAGAAGUUUCCUCUGCUUGGUGAGUCCUGCAGGAAGUUUAAAAGCAACUUUUAUUAUUAAGUAUUUCUGUUUGAAUAUUGCAUUAUCAAUGAGUCAACCCACUGACGACAAAUCUUCAAUUGUUUUCCAAUUUGAGUUCAGCUCCAUAUUUAUUGCUUUUAUUCUUCAUUAGAUUAAUAGUCUCCCAACAGAAGUGCAGUGUGACUUAAAUUUUACUAGAGAUGUGUGUUGGUGAAAGUCUGGUGAGAUGAUACGUAUCACGAUACAGGGGAGACGAUACGAUAUAUCGCGAUACAUUCAGCCAGACGAUAUUAAUGAUUUUUAAACUGAAUUUAUUGUAAGAAAAUUCAAUCAACAGUCCAAACUGAUACGUAUCGUUUAACAUGAGGUAUCUGAACCAUAAUAGAGGGAUUUAUGUUGGUAAAAACAAAACCCGUUGCACACUGCUGCCAACUAGCGGUCGGUGUUUGAAAUGCACAAAAAGAUAAGAAAAUACACAAAUGUUCGCAUGUAAAUUCUUCCAAAAAUUCAAUACAUGGCUUUCGAAUAAUAUCGUGGGAAAAAAUAUCGCGAUAUAUUACAAUCUUGAUAUUUUCUCACAUCUCUAAAUGUUACUGUCCUUGCUUCAUUCAGGCAAACCCUUCAUGGUGGCUCAUGCUCUGAAAAUCAAGGGGAACGAACCCAAGGUUGGAGUUCUGUGUUUGCUCUGUGAACGGAGGCUUUCCAGCGACGAAAUCCAAGCUCAUGUGUUCAGUCGGGAACACGUCACAAGAUUCCUGGUCAGCUUUUAUAAUUUUUUCCCACACCGUAAUCAUUUACCCCAACAAUGAUGAUGGUAGUAGUAGUAAUGCUAAUGGUCUUAGUACAGCCAAGGUGGUGCAUGUGUGUCUCUAAUGCUGGCGUGUAAAUAUGCUGUCCGAUGGAGGAUUUGGUUAGAAGUUUUUUGCUGCCAAAGGUUGAAAGACACCUUCGAUAGAUGAGUUGCUUGCUUUAGUUUAAAUUGAUCUGUGUCGUCAACGGUUUAGAUAUAAUUUAAAGGUGUGGAACACUGAAAAAUUAUUUUUACAUUAUUAUUUCUGAUUCUAAUGGGUCACGCAGAGUGUUUCAUGCAGGCUGAACAUGAAAACAGUCUCCUACACCUAUCUCCUUGUCAGGUUUAAACACCUAAGACACCAUAUAACAAACACAAGGAAAGAGAGACAAAGUCAGAGUUCUGUUUGAAGCUCGAGGAGAAUGGAAUAAGGUCCGACCAGCUCAGUCUCCACUGCGCCAGCAGAUCCUCCAAAACCAUUCUGCCUUCUGAUGCGAGCAUUCUCUAUUUAUUAAAAGCUGGGCGUUCCCUAGUUACAUGCCUGAGAGCUGAGCUGAAGGAUGGGAGGAAAACACAGCUCUCAGUUUCUCAGCAAUUGUUGAAACAUUUUCAUACAAGUUUCUAAUCACACAAAGAGCAUUCAGUUCUCUAAUCAUGCAAAGAGCAACAGGCAGUUGCACGAGUCAGCAGACGUGUCCUUGGGUCACGUUCUGUUCAACAAAGCACAACGCGUUUUAGUCUUCUCAUGAGACUUUAAACAAAACGGUAACUGUCAACAUAAAUAAUAAAAUCUUUAACCAUGAUAAAAGCAUAAAGCAUGAUAAAAGAAAACACUCAUUAUUAUUUUAACACUCCUGCAUUAGCUUCUGAUAGAAAACAGACGGUGAAACUCUAGGAUUAGAAAAUCCUGACAGAUCCACAUCACACUGUCACUUAAUAUUCGUGGACUCACCCAUCUUGAUUUGCAACGGGGAAAGCUGUUGUUGGUCCAGGAAACAGCAGAGAACCUCUCUGCUAGUAGAAGCUAGCGUCUCCAGCACAUGGCAGAACUCCUCCAGGCUUGUGUUGUUUGUGGAGAUAAAACAUCAACGUCGCAGAGAAAUCUGAGUCAGUGGUAGCGUCGCGUUGGUGGUGAGCUCGUUUUCCCCAGAGUAUGACUGACAUUCAUUUCUAGAGGCCACUGCAAAUUAGGCAUGUGUACUGGUGAAAUUCUGGCGAUACGAUACGUAUCGCGAUACAGGGGAGACGAUACAAUAUAUCACGUUAUCUUGCGAUACAUUCUGCCCGACGAUAUUGGUGAUUUUUUUUUUGACUGAAAUUAUUUUAGGAAAAUUGAAUUAACAGUCCAAACUGAUAAGUUUACUAAACCCUAACCCUGACCCUAAUCUCAAACUCCCAAUAGCAAAAUGCUAUUAUAGGAGAAUGGAGUCUCUACAGAGUCGUCUUGUAAUUCCCAGCUGUCUCUGCACAGCCUCUAAAGGUUGGUUUAUGCUUGACGCGUCUGCGAGGUCCGCACGGCUCCGCGCGGAAAAGUUGCGUCAUUUUGCAUCAUUUUAACAACCACGCCCCUCCUCCGCGUCUCCGCACGGCACAAAAUUUCCGCAACGCGCACCUCGGAAAAUUUCUAACCACGCGGACGGACGGACGGACGCGGAAAAACAUGGCGGACCGGCAAGAACUAGUACGGCAGAGGUUUGUAAAUACAGACAUUUGUGUGAUUCAGCUCUCAGAGAUCACCGUGAUCAACAUGUUGUUAAUAAUUCUUGGAGAGAAAUAGCUCGCACUGUCGGAAAAGACGAGGACGCUGUUAAAAAUGCUGGAAUGCCAUGUUGUAAACAGUAAUUUCUACUUCUACUAUGGUGUAGUGUUGGAUGCAUGCCGUAGAGCUCCAUGCUGCCCCCUACAGUUUGGGAGAAUAUUGGCUCACCGCAGAGAC
rnacentral:lncRNA from 1 species